GACGAACGCUGGCGGCGUGCUUAACACAUGCAAGUCGAGCGGUAAGGCCCUUUCGGGGGUACACGAGCGGCGAACGGGUGAGUAACACGUGGGUGACCUGCCCUCAGCUCUGGGAUAAGCCUGGGAAACUGGGUCUAAUACUGGAUAUGACUCCACGGUGCAUGUCGUGGGGUGGAAAGCCUUGUGCGGCUGAGGGGUGGGCCCGCGGCCUAUCAGCUUGUUGGUGGGGUGAUGGCCUACCAAGGCGACGACGGGUAGCCGGCCUGAGAGGGCGACCGGCCACACUGGGACUGAGACAC
rnacentral:rRNA from 1 species